CCCUUAGAUGCUCUGGGCCGCACGCGUGCUACACUGAGUGGAUCAGCGGGUCAGGUUACGCGAGAGCGUUUCCUAAUCUUCAAAUCCGCUCGUGAUGGGGAUUGACGGUUGCAAUUUUCCGUCAUGAACGAGGAAUACCUUGUAAGCGCGGGUCAUCAUCCCGCGCUGAAUACGUCCCUGCCCUUUGUACACACCGCCCGUCGCUCCUACCGAUUGAGUGGUCCGGUGAGGCUUUGGGAUCUAAGCGAAAAGAGCGUUUCGCUCCUUUUGCUGGGAGAACUCAGUCGAACCUUAUCAUUUAGAGGAAGGAGAAGUCGUAACA
rnacentral:rRNA from 1 species